CUACGGGAGGCAGCAGUGGGGAAUAUUGGACAAUGGGCGCAAGCCUGAUCCAGCAACGCCGCGUGGAGGAAGAAGGCCUUCGGGUCGUAAACUCCUGUCAGUUGGGACGAAAAGCCGUCGGUAAAUACCCGGCGGUUCUGACGGUACCAGCAGAGGAAGCACCGGCUAACUCCGUGCCAGCAGCCGCGGUAAUACGGAGGGUGCAAGCGUUGUUCGGAAUUACUGGGCGUAAAGGGCGUGUAGGCGGACCAAGUAGUCGGGUGUGAAAGCCCUGGGCUCAACCCAGGAAGUGCGCCCGAAACCAUUGGUCUUGAGAUUCGGAGGGGAGCGGGGAAUUCCAGUGUAGAGGUGAAAUUCGUAGAUAUUGGGAGGAACACCGGUGCCGAAGGGGCCGCUCUGGACGAAUACUGACGCUGAGACGCGAAAGCGUGGGUAGCAAACAGGAUUAGAUACCCUGGUAGUCCACGCUGUAAACGAUGUGCACUAGGUGCUGGGGGUAUUGACCCCCCCGGUGCCGCCGCUAACGCAUUAAGUGCACCGCCUGGGAAGUACGGUCGCAAGGCUGAAACUCAAAUGAAUUGACGG
rnacentral:rRNA from 1 species